AACCCGGGAAAUGUCAUUAUCAUUUCCGGGUGCGAAGAAAAAAGAUCGCCACGAGAGCGAAGUGUAGCGCGGCAGUGUUUUAAACGGGAAAGAAACCCGAAACCCGCAUACGACAGUUCCCAGCACGAAACUGAAAGAAAAAGCUCCGACAAGGCGCAUACCAGUCACGCGGUACGUGCUCGCGGAAGAUUAGAGGGCAGAGCCCCACUGAAAGGUGUUCUCCCGCCCACCUAAAAGGGUGAAUUUGCGCGAGAGGGAAGCGUAAAGCUUCGGGAAAGCAAAAGAAUAAGAGGGUCGCUCAGGCGGCCUUCUUUUAUCCACCAUCAAGCACCUUCGCCUCGGAUACGAGGUUUCCAUCGAUUCCGGCAACUUUUGCCGGAGGAAAGGUGGCAUUUAGCCAUUCAGCAUCUCCGGAACUCUCGGCUGCAACUGCCAGCCUAGCCUCGACCACAACGUGCCCGCGCUGGCAACUUCAAAGGUGGCAAUUAGCCAUUUAACAUCACCGGGAGUCUCGGCUACAACUGUCUGCCUUCUCUCGGCUAGAUCGCACCCGCGGUGCAACAUCAAAGGUGGCGUUGAGCCACACAACAUCCUCGUAGAGACACUUUGUUUCUAAGGCUCCCGUAGGCGUAGCAUCUAUUGUGGCAAUUGGCCACUCAUCUUCAUCAACAGUCUCGACUGCACCUUUCGGCUGCACCUGCAGUGCCGAAUCAACUGUGGCAUUUGGCCACUUAGCAUCAUCGACAGUCUCGUCGGCACUUUUCGACUGCAUCUGCGGUCGUUGCAUCAACUGUGGCAUUUGGCCACUUAUCAUCAUCGGCAGUUGCGACUGCACUUUCCGAUUGCAUCGGUGGUCGCCGAAUCAACUGUGGCAUUUGGCCACGUAUCAUCAUCGGCAGUUUCGACUGCAAUCUUCGACUGCACCUGCCAUCAUCGAAUCAACUGUGGCAUUGGGCCAUUCAUCAUCAACGGCACUACUCGACUGCAUCUGUGGUCGGCGUACCAGCGGAGGCAUCGGUAAAUUCAUUUGGAGCAUGAUGCCGAGGGGGCGAGAAGAGGUUUGCCCACACCAAGGCGGAGGAUGAAAAGCUUCGUGGCCACUCAGUGCGCUGCAGCGCCUUCAUGGAGGAUGCCGUAAGUUCAAUAGAAUCUGAAUGAAAA